rnacentral:rRNA from 1 species
AUUGAACGCUGGCGGCAUGCUUUACACAUGCAAGUCGGACGAGUGGCGAACGGGUGAGUAACGCAUCGGAACGUACCGAGUAAUGGGGGAUAACUGUCCGAAAGGACAGCUAAUACCGCAUAUUAUCCGAGCGGCCGAUGUCGGAUUAGCUGGUUGGCGGGGUAAAGGCCCACCAAGGCGACGAUCAGUAGCGGGUCUGAGAGGAUGAUCAGCCACACUGGGACUGAGACACGGCCCAGACUCCGACGGGAGGCAGCAGUGGGGAAUAUUGGACAAUGGGCGCAAGCCUGAUGCAGCCAUGCCGCGUGUAUGAAGAAGGCCUUCGGGUUGUAAAGGACUUUUAGCAGGGAGGCGGUACCGAAAGAAGAAGCACCGGCUAACUCCGUGCCAGCAGCCGCGGUAAUAC